rnacentral:rRNA from 1 species
CGAAUAGGGGAGCCGGAGGGAAACCGAGUCUUAAUUGGGCGUUAAGUUGCAGGGUAUAGACCCGAAACCCGGUGAUCUAGCCAUGGGCAGGUUGAAGGUUGGGUAACACUAACUGGAGGACCGAACCGACUAAUGUUGAAAAAUUAGCGGAUGACCUGUGGCUGGGGGUGAAAGGCCAAUCAAACCGGGAGAUAGCUGGUUCUCCCCGAAAGCUAUUUAGGUAGCGCCUCGUGAAUUCAUCUCCGGGGGUAGAGCACUGUUUCGGCUAGGGGGCCAUCCCGGCUUACCAACCCGAUGCAAACUGCGAAUACCGGAGAAUGUUAUCACGGGAGACACACGGCGGGUGCUAACGUCCGUCGUGAAGAGGGAAACAACCCAGACCGCCAGCUAAGGUCCCAAAGUCAUGGUUAAGUGGGAAACGAUGUGGGAAGGCCCAGACAGCCAGGAUGUUGGCUUAGAAGCAGCCAUCAUUUAAAGAAAGCGUAAUAGCUCACUGGUCGAGUCGGCCUGCGCGGAAGAUGUAACGGGGCUAAACCAU